CCUUCCUUCUGCGCUCCGCGCUGUGCAGCUGCGCUGGGCGGAAAGUUUUUCCUUGUUUCUUUUUCUCUGCAACAUUUUUUUCGCUUCCGAACUCCUGUCUCUCUCCCCCCACACACACACAUUUUCCCCCCUUUUCUGUCCCUCGCCUCCUUUGCAAUUCCCCCCCCCUUUUUUUUUGGAAAGCAGGAAACUAGGGCAUUUGGUCCUUCCCCACCCACCCCCUUGCCGUGAGUCUAGGAAGAGUUUUAUAGCUUGGAAACUACUUUCUUUUUCUUCUCCUGGACGAGAAAGAGGAGGGAGAGACCCUUUCCAGGAAACGCGUCCCGGUGCCGCUCUGGCGGGGCAGUUGCCCCCUCCCCUUCUCCUCCUCUUCUUCCUACUCCCCCGCCCCUAUUUGCCUCUGCCAGGGGAGGGGGGCCUUGUUGAUUGAUUCUGCGCCCCAUCAUCCCCGGUCUCAAGUUUUUGCCUACGGGACACGGAAUCGCCGCGCAGCUGACGAAGCGAAGGGCGAACUCUGAGCAAGAAAAAAAGGACAGCUAUUAUUUCGGAAGGCCUUAAAAGGGCACGUGCGCCAAGUCAAUAGCAGGACACAGACCUAAUGAAGAUACAACCAUGGACGAGGAAGAAGUUCUUAAUUCUAUUAUGAAGGACCUCGCCGCUCUUGGCAAAUGCGGUGGAUUUUUAGACAGCAACAGGAAUAAAAACCAUUCGAACAAACAGUUGCGGAAUGCCAGGAUCAAGUUUGAGCAUGAUGGAGAAAAAAGGAUUAUCCAGUUCCCGAGGCCGGUUAAGUUCAAAGAUGUUUUGCAAAAAGUCAUGGAUGCUUUUGGGCAGUUGAUGGAUUUGCAUUAUGCUGACAAUGAGCUCCUGGUCCCCCUGAAGUCACAGGAAGAUUUGGACCGAGCAGUGGAACGCUUGGACCUCAGCCCUUCCCUGAAAAGCUUGAGGGUGUUUGUGAAAACUCCAAAAGAAACAAAUCUCCUGCAACCCAACAACACCAAGCAGCAUGAGAUGAGGAUAUCUAAAUCAAUGGGGGAUAUACUGGGAUCUCUGUGCAAAGACACCGAGAGGACACGGAAGCAUUCAACAGGAUCUCUGCACACCGGCCGGAGUUCUCCGCCUCCCGGGAGCGUCCCUGAAGAGCAGCAGCAGAUCGCCCGUCAGGGAUCCUAUACCAGCAUCAACAGCGAAGGAGAAUUUAUCCCCGAAAUGAUGGAUCAAAAUUUGUUGGACCCGUUUAUCAGCCCAAGCAAUUCGCUUUCAAGCAGUUGUCAGUCCCUGGACCAAUCCAUAGACAGCCCACCUUUCAGCAAAACCCCAGCUUCAAGAAGAAAAAGAGAAACCAAGGGCAGCUUGGAAUGUCUGGAUUUCAACGUCCCAUUUUGUGACCGAGGGAAAGGCGGCACUUUUCCGAGGCAGUAUCAUCUCUCUCAGAGUCGCAAGGAUUACACUGACGGCCGGAGAACAUUCCCCAGAAGUUACGCUCCUCCAGAAAACCUGUUUCAGCUUCUGCCUUCCAGCCGAACCAAGAGCUACAACGGAGACAACAAGCUGAUCACCUUGCGGUACGAGGACCGAGGGAACAACAAGUGGUGGCACAAUUGUGACAAGAUCUUUCAAGGCUUUAGCUCUUCUUCUCCCAAGACCAGGAACACACUGCAGGCCCCAGUGAACUGGAGGCUUGGGAAACUCUUGGGCCGAGGAGCUUUUGGAGAAGUCUACCUUUGCUACGAUGUGGACAUCGGACGGGAGCUAUCCGUGAAGCAGGUGCCGUUUGACCCCGACAGCCAAGAGACCAGCAAGGAAGUGAAUGCCUUGGAAUGUGAGAUCCAAUUGCUUAAAACCCUUCGUCAUGAGAGAAUAGUACAAUAUUAUGGCUGCCUCCGUGAUCCAGAGGAGAGAAAACUAUCCAUCUUUGUGGAAUAUAUGCCUGGGGGUUCUAUCAAAGACCAGCUAAAAGCCUAUGGGGCCUUGACAGAGAAUGUGACUCGUAAAUACACAAGGCAGAUUCUUCAAGGUGUUUCCUACCUCCAUAGCAACAUGAUUGUACACAGAGACAUUAAAGGUGCCAACAUUUUGAGAGAUUCUGUUGGGAACGUGAAACUAGGAGACUUUGGGGCCAGCAAACGCAUUCAGACCAUCUGCAUGUCUGGAACGGGGAUGAAAUCUGUCACAGGAACUCCCUACUGGAUGAGCCCAGAGGUGAUCAGUGGAGAAGGCUAUGGAAGGAAGGCUGAUGUGUGGAGUUUGGGCUGCACUGUGGUAGAAAUGCUGACUGAGAAACCACCAUGGGCAGAAUAUGAAGCUAUGGCUGCCAUCUUCAAGAUUGCCACCCAGCCAACCAAGCCUCAGCUUCCCGACGGGGUUUCGGAGUACUGCCGCAACUUUCUCAAGCUGAUCUUUGUAGAAGAAAAACGGAGGCCCACCGCAGAAGACCUUUUGAGGCAUCCCUUUGUGAACUUCAGCCUCUAGCAGGCUUUCCUGCUGGAAGAGAAAGAGAAAGCAAAGACUUCACACCCAAAGAAAGGUGUGAAUGACAACAGAGACCUGUGUGAUUCUCCAUUCAGCCUCCCUUGGGUUGCUUCUGCCUGGGCCGUGUUGUUUUCUGUCAGGCCUCAUUGGCUGUGUCUUGUGGUGCCUUUAAGCCGAGCCUCCAUCUUUGGUCGUCUGGAUGAUCAGUGAAAAGGAGGUUUUGGCAAACAGUUGAUGCCGUUAAUAGAGCUCCGUGUGCCUUGUGAAUAUUGACAGAUUCUCUGCUUAGAAAGCAGCUGGAUAGAUCGCAAAUCUCAGUCAGGUCAGCCGUCAAAAUUAUCUCAUUUGCCAAACACACUCAAAUGGUGAUCAUGAAAAGCAGGAGUAAUAAAUGGGAAAAAAGAUCAUAAAUCACUUUUUUCUGAGGUUAUUAUAACUUCGGUUAAAUGAAUGGUCAUAAGUCAAGGACUUUUAUAUACAAAGCUACCAACCCACCAGAGCCCAAAUUAUUCUCUGCCAUUUUUUCUUGAUUCGUGUUGCAAAUUGCUAGUUUGAAUAUUUCCCAGAAAAUCAAAAAUUCCUGUGGUGGUAUAAUUAAUUAUAUUUCCUUGCCACUGAUCCAAUUUCUGAGGUAAAUCCUGUGAGAUUGAAGUCCUUGUGUACUUUAAGCAAAUGUGUAUAUCUUAACAAAUAUUUCACUUAAUUUACAUUCUGGGCUGAUGAGAAGGCAAGAUUUCGUUGUCUUGUUUUGCUUUGUUUGAUUCUUUACUCCCUUGUGCUUUCAGCACAAGAUCCUUAAAAUAAGGGGGAAAACAUAUUUCGUGGGCUAUUUUUACAGUGAUUAAAAACUAAAACAAGCAGAGAUUGCCGUGAUGAAUUUAUGCAUUUGGGGGUGAUUAUAUAGUACAGAUAGUCUUUGACUUAACAACCAUUCAUUUAGUGACUGCUCAGAGUUACAAUGGCACAUAAAAAUGAUUUAUGAUGGUUUUUCACACAACUGUUGCAGCAUCCUCUGGUCCUGUGGUAAAAUUCAGACUUGGCCACUGACUUGUGUUUAUGAUGGUUGCAAUGCCCUGGGGUCAUGUGACCAGUUUUUGCAGCCUCCUGACAAGCAAAAUCAAUGAGGUAACCAGAUUCACUUAAUAGCCAUGUUACUAACUUAUCAAUUGCAGUGAUUCCUUUAACAUAGCAACAGAAAUUUUGGGUUUAAUUAUGGUUGAGGACUGCCUAAACAUCUGAUGAUAAUACAAUCUGGCUAAAGGCAUAAUCUACAUUUUGCUCGUUUUAAGGAUUUAAACUGAGCAGCUUAAAAAACACCAGUUACUAUAAUGAAAGCAGGAAAACCGUGAGGAACAACCUAUAUUUUACUGAUCUUAGACACACUUGAGCAGAGGUUCCCAACCUUUUGGGCACCAGGAGAGAGGUUUUUCCGUGGACCGGAGGGGGUGUGGUUUUGUGUGCUGCCUGCAUCCCAUGGAUGGGGCUUUGCUUGUUUGUGCGGACUGGUUGCUGGCAUGCCGCGGCCCAGUACCAGUCCACAGAUCGAGGGUUGGGGACCCGUGCACUUGAGUAUUGUACAUUUUUACCAUUUUAAUGCACAUUCGCUCUUGCCUGUAAGAACACAGGUAGUCCUUGAGCUACAACAGUAAUUGAGCCCUGAAGUUUGACGGUCAUAAAAUAGGUUACCAAGUGACCGGACCCAAUUUUAUGAUCUUUUUUUUUGCAGUGGUUGUUAAACAAACACCAUGGUUAUAAAGUGAAUGCCACUGUCAUUAAGCAAACACCAUGGUUGUUAAGUUAACCUAUUGUUCACUAUGGUGCAGUUUUUGCUGGAAACUGCUAGUAAAACACUAGUAUCUGGUAAAAAAAUAUCGUAAAUCGUGGUCAUAGGACAGUGGGGCAUUUCAAAAAAAACACUUAAGGGUGGGCUGGUUGCCAAGGAUGCAAAAUGCAGUCAUGUGACUGUGAGGGAAGAGUGACAUCAGAAUUUAAAAUAUGUGUUGUGAGUAGUUUUUUUGGAUUCCGUCUUAACUUCAAUCAAAUUCGUAAAACAGUCAUAAGGCGAGGGCUACAGGUAGUCCUCGACUUAAGUUCAUUUAGGGACCAUUCAAAGUUACAAUGGCACUGAAAAAGUGGCUUAUGACCAUUUUUUACACUUAACAACCGUUGCAGCCUCCCAGUGGUCAUAUG